GGAGGAAUAUUGGUCAAUGGGCGCGAGCCUGAACCAGCCAAGUCGCGUGAAGGAUGAAGGUUCUAUGGAUUGUAAACUUCUUUUAUGGGGGAAUAAAGUGCGGGAUGUAUCCUGUUUUGUAUGUACCUCAUGAAUAAGCAUCGGCUAACUCCGUGCCAGCAGCCGCGGUAAUACGGAAGGUCCGGGCGUUAUCCGGAUUUAUUGGGUUUAAAGGGAGCGUAGGCCGGAGAUUAAGCGUGUUGUGAAAUGUAGUGGCUCAACCUCUGCACUGCAGCGCGAACUGGUCUUCUUGAGUACGCACAACGUGGGCGGAAUUCGUGAUGUAGCGGUGAAAUGCUUAGAUAUCACGAAGAACUCCGAUUGCGAAGGCAGCUCACGGGAGCGCAACUGACGCUGAAGCUCGAAAGUGCGGGUAUCGAACAGGAUUAGAUACCCUGGUAGU
rnacentral:rRNA from 1 species